GUCAAAGUGGCCGAGUGGUUAAGGCGUCUGACUUGAAUUGGUUCGAAAUCAGAUAUUUUCGGAUGCGCAGGUUCAAAUCCUGUCUUUGACG
rnacentral:tRNA from 2 species